rnacentral:rRNA from 1 species
GACGAACGCUGGCGGCGUGCUUAACACAUGCAAUUUGAACGGACCUCCUGACCGGUUGGUUUUGUGGUUAGUGCCGAACCGUUGAGGAACUCGUGAGUAACCUGCCCUUCUCGUCGGGGUAACUGCCGGAAACGCUGGCUAAUACCGGAUAUUCCUAUUCUGUCGCGUCGUGGUGGGUGGAAAGCUUGUUUGGUGGGGGAUGGACUCGCGGCCUAUCAGCUUGUUGGUGAGGUAGUGGCUUACCAAGGCUUUGACGGGUAGCCGGCCUGUGAGGGCGACCGGCCACACUGGGACUGAGAUACGGCCCAGACUCCUACGGGAGGCAGCAGUGGGGAAUAUUGCACAAUGGGCGGAAGCCUGAUGCAGCGACGCCGUGUGCGGGAUGACGGCCUUCGGGUUGUAAACCGCUUUCAACUGUGACGAAUUUGACGGUAGCAGUAGAAGAAGCACCGGCUAACUACGUGCCAGCAGCCGCAGUAA